GGCAUUGUAGCAUAGUGGUAGUGAGCAGGGCUUGUAACUGAAAGGUUGCUAGUUCGAUUCCCCAUUGCCG